rnacentral:rRNA from 1 species
UUUCACACAGGUGUUGCAUGGCUGUCGUCAGCUCGUGUCGUGAGAUGUUGGGUUAAGUCCCGCAACGAGCGCAACCCUCAUCCUUAGUUACCAUCAGGUAAUGCUGGGGACUUUAAGGAGACUGCCAGUGAUAAACUGGAGGAAGGUGGGGAUGAUGUCAAGUCAUCAUGGCCCUUAUGGAGUGGGCUACACACGUGCUACAAUGGUGGCUACAAUGGGCUGCAAAGUCGCGAGGCUAAGCCAAUCCCUUAAAAGCCAUCUCAGUUCGGAUUGUACUCUGCAACUCGAGUGCAUGAAGUUGGAAUCGCUAGUAAUCGUGGAUCAGCACGCCACGGUGAAUACGUUCUCGGGUCUUGUACACACUGCCCGUCACGCCAUGGGAAUUGGUUUCA